ACUUAUCUAAUAUAAUAGUAUAUUUGACUUCCAAUCAAAAAGUUUGAUUAAAUCAAGAUAAGUA
rnacentral:tRNA from 1 species